rnacentral:rRNA from 1 species
CUCAUAAGGUGCUGAAGGAGUAAAGAACCAAUGAGCUUGGUAUUCAUAAUGAUUUAGGAUUGGAUAUCGGAUGCGGCAUGUGACUUAACGUUCAGGCCUAUCACCUUCAGCGGUAGGGGAUUGGCCUUACGCGGACUGUGACGGUAACGGGGAAAUAGGGAUUGGUUUCCGAGACGGGAGCGGGAGAAAGGGUAACCCCUUCCACGUAGGGCGCAGGCGGCGGAAUUUCCCAAUCCCCAAUCCGGGGAGGGGGGGCCAGAAACAACAAAUCCGGGCCCAAAGCUUUUGGAAAUUGAAAGGGGAAAGGAUUAACCCCCUUCCCAGUAACAAAUGGGGGGGAAAGUCGGGGUCCGCCGCCGGCGGAAAUUCCAGUUCCAAUUCCAAUAAUUAAAGUUGUGCCAGUUAAAAAGUUGUAGUUGGAAUUUUUUUUUUUUAUUUUAUAAUAUUACCAAGGUAAUUAUUAUAUUAUCAACAUCCUUCCUAUUAUAUUCUAAAUAUAUAGGAAAUUUUACUUUGAGAAAAUUAGAGUGCUUAAAGCAGGCAACUGCCUUGAAUACUCCAGCAUGGAAUAAUAAGUAAGGACUUUUGUUUUUCUUAUUGGUUCUAGGACAAAAGUAAUGGUUAAUAGGGACAGUUGGGGGCAUUCGUAUUUAACAGUCAGAGGUGAAAUUCUUAGAUUUGUUAAAGACAAACUACUGCGAAAGCAUUUGCCAAGGAUGUUUUCAUUAAUCAAGAACGAAAGUUAGGGGAUCGAAGACGAUCAGAUACCGUCGUAGUCUUAACCAUAAACUAUGCCGACUAGAGAUUGGAGGUUCUUUAUCUAAUAAAUACAACCCUUCC